rnacentral:lncRNA from 1 species
AGCUAAGGGGCGGGUCCGCCAUUGGCGGGAGAUCCUCAGCGCGGUGCCCGAUGGAGCCCCCCAAGCGCCCCUCGGGGGUCCCUCUGGGGGAUUUGGGGGGUCCCAAGCGGGCGCGGGGGUCCCAAACCCCCCAAACCCCCCAAUUUCUCUCCCCAAACCCCCCAAAUUUCCCCUAUUUAUUUCCCCAAAUUUCCCCCAAAUCCCCCCAAUUUCUCCCAAUUCAUUCCCCCAAUUUUCCCCAAUUUCUCUCCCGAAACUCUCCAAUUUCUCUCCCCAAUUUCUCCCAAUUCAUUCCCCCAAUUUUCCCCAAUUUCUCUCCCCAAACCCCCCAAUUCAUUCCCCCAAUUUCUCUCCCCAAAUUCCCCAAUUUUCCCCAAUUAAUUGCUGCAAUUUCUCCCAAUUCAUCCCCCCAAUUUCCCCCCAGUUUUCCCCAAUUUCUCUCCCCAAUUUCUCCCAAUUAAUCACCCCAAAUUUCCCCAAUUUCUAUCCCCAAUUUCUCCCAAUUAAUCCCCCCAAAUUUCCCCAAUUUCUUUCCCCAAAUUCCCCAAUUUCUCUCCCCAAAUUUCCCCAAUUUCUCUCCCCAAUUUUCCCAAUUUCUUUCCCCAAAUUUCCCCAAUUUUCCCCAAUUCCUUUCCCCAAUUUCUCUCCCCAAAUUUCCCCAAUUUCUCUCCCCAAUUUUCCCAAUUUCUUUCCCCAAAUUUCCCCAAUUUUCCCCAAUUCCUUUCCCCAAUUUCUCUCCCCAAAUCCCCCAAUUUUCCCCAAUUUCUCUCCCAAUUUAUUUCCCCAAUUUCCUCCAAUUUAUUCCCCCAAUUUUCCCAAUUUCUCUCCCCAAACCCCUGAAUUUUCCCCAAAUUUCCCCAAUUUUCCCCCAAUUUCUCUCCCUAAACCCCUGAUUUAUUCCCCCAAUUUCUCUCUCCAACCCUCAGGCUGCCGAUGGAGCCCCCCAAGCGCCCCUCGGGGGUCCCUCUGGGGGAUUUGGGGGGUCCCAAGCGGGCGCGGGGGUCCCAAACCCCCCAAUUCAUCCCCCCAAUUCCCCCCAAAUUCCCCCAAUUUCUCCCAAUUAAUCCCCCCAAUUUCCCCCAAUUUCUUUCCCCAAUUUCUCUCCCCAGUUUUCCCCAAUUUCUCUCCCCAAUUUUACCCCAAUUUUCCCAAAUUUCUCUCCCCAAAUCCCCCAAUUUCUCUCCCCAAUUUUCCCCAAUUUCCCCCCAAUUCCCCCAAUUCCCCCCAAUUUUCCCCAAUUUCUCUCCCCAAAUUUCCCCAAUUUCUCUCCCCAAACCCCCCAAUUCAUUCCCCCAAUUUUCCCCAAUUUCUUUCCCCAAUUUCUCUCCUCAAAUUCCCCCAAUUUCUCUCCCCAAUUCCCCCCCAAUUUUCCCCAAUUUCUCUCCCCAAACCCCCCAAUUUCUUUCUCCAAAUUUCCCCAAUUUCUUUCCCCAAAAUUCCCUAAAUUUCCCCAAUUUCUUUCCCCAAUUUUUCCCUAUUUUUUUCCCCAAAUUACCCUAAAUUUCCCCAAUUUCUUUCUCCAUUUUUCCCCCAAUUUCCCCCAAUUUUUCCCCAAUUUCUCUCCCCAAUUUCCCUCCCCAAAUCCCCAAUUCCCCCCAAACCCCCCCAAUCUAUUCCCCCAAUUUAUUUCCCCAAAUCCCCCAAAUUUCCCCCAAAUCCCCCCAAUUUCUCCCAAUUUCUCUCCCCAAUUUUUCCCUAUUUAUUCCCCAAAUUUCCCUAAAUUCCCCCAAUUUCUUUCCCCAAUUUAUUUCCCUAAUUUUCCCCAAUUUCUCUCCCCAAACCCCCAAUUUAUUCCCCCAAUUUCUCUCCCACCCCUCAGGUGCCCGAUGGAGCCCCCCAAGCGCCCCUCGGGGGUCCCUCUGGGGGAUUUGGGGGGUCCCAAGCGGCCCCGGGGGUCCCCGCGGGGCCCGUCCCGCUUCGAGCAGGAGCUGGCGCAGCUGCACCGGGAGGAGGAGGAGGAGGAGGAGGAGGAGGAGGAAGAGCAGGGACAGCCCCCCGACCCCCACAGACAGCCCAGCGGUGAGGGGGUUGGGGGGAUUGGGGAGAAUUUGGGGUUUUUUUUCCAUUUUAUUGGGAUUUUUGGGGGAUUUUUUGGGGUUUUUUUUUCAUUUUAUUGGGAUUUUUUGGGGAUUUUUUUGGGUUUUUUUUUUCAUUUUAUUGGGAUUUUCUUUUUUAUUUGGAUUUUUUUAAAUUUUAUUGGAUAUUUUAGAGGAUUUUUUAUUUCAUUUUCUUGG